GUUGUGUUAUCGAGAAACCGGCAAGCGCCUCGCGCCUUGGUCUUCAAUUUCGUUCUGUUUUCUUGCGAUUCGAUACGCAGAUUGUCCUAUUCCAGUCCUGAUAAGUAUCAGAAAAUCAAGACGUCUAUUAUUUCAAUAUAGCGUGGCAAAUAAGUUUUCCGGUGAAAGGUACAGAGCGAAUAAAUCGAGAUUGAAAACAAUACCCAACGCCCUUCUCGGAGUACAACUAUCACCGAAAAUUCUAUCUAGCAUUAGAUUCUGUACGAGCAGUCCAGUCAGCUGCAGGAGAAGCGUACAAUGAAUCAUUUAAAAAAAGAUCUAGAAGAAGGUAUUAAAAAAUGGCUAAGAAGAGCGAAGGAAAGGUCCGAUGCGGAUAAAAAGAAACUCGCGAACACUCAAGAAGACAGUGAAUAAUAAGGAACACUA